rnacentral:tRNA from 1 species
UAGUUCAGUCGGUUAGAAUACCGGCCUGUCACGCCGGGGGUCGCGGGUUCGAGUCCCGUCCGCUCCGCCACUUAUUA